GAGUUAGAUUAUACCAGGACUAAUGCACUAGAUCCCAUCAAAACUCCGCAGUUAAGUGUGCUUGGGCGAGAGCAGUAGUAGGAUGGGUGAUCUCUUGGGAAGUCCUCGUGUUGCACCCC
rnacentral:rRNA from 1 species